GACAGUUUGGCCGAGUGGUCGAUGGCGCUAGCUUCAGGCGUUAGCCCGAAAGGGCGCGAGUUCGAAUCGCGCAGCUGUUA
rnacentral:tRNA from 1 species